UGGGGAAUAUUGCACAAUGGGCGAAAGCCUGAUGCAGCGACGCCGCGUGCGGGAUGAAGGCCUUCGGGUUGUAAACCGCUUUUGAUUGGGGAGCAAGCGAGAGUGAGUGUACCUUUCGAAUAAGCACCGGCUAACUACGUGCCAGCAGCCGCGGUAAUACGUAGGGUGCAAGCGUUAUCCGGAAUUAUUGGGCGUAAAGAGCUCGUAGGCGGUUUGUCGCGUCUGGUGUGAAAGUCCAUCGCUUAACGGUGGAUCUGCGCCGGGUACGGGCAGGCUAGAGUGCGACAGGGGAGACUGGAAUUCCCGGUGUAACGGUGGAAUGUGUAGAUAUCGGGAAGAACACCAAUGGCGAAGGCAGGUCUCUGGGUCGUCACUGACGCUGAGGAGCGAAAAGCGUGGGGAGCGAACAGGAUUAGAUACCCUGGUAGUCCAC
rnacentral:rRNA from 1 species